UUCGAACCCAAACCUAGUUACAUUUGCUUCCUCUCUGCGUAGGCUCUGUAACUUUUAUCCCACAGAAGUAGAGCUAUUCUAAUCUCUCUGCAGAAGCUGUCCAGGAUGCAGGCAACCAGCUCCCCGAUCCACCCUGCCUUGUCGGGACACCCAGCACCUCACCUAACCCACAGGGCAGGAGCUUCUAUCUUCCUAGAAGAAGCCACCUCAGCAACUACUGAAAUAACCCUGCUUUUUGUUGGACUAGAUUAUUUUCAGUCAGGCAUAAGAAGGGGCUGGUGGUCCACCACUUCCUCCUUCCUCCACCCCACUUCAAACCUCCCCCUCAGCCCUGCCACCCUGAAAAUCUCCUGGCUUCCCUCCUCUUCUCUCUUUUCCCCACCCUUCCCAAAUCUCUGCUUGGAACAAAGUUGAUGGCUCCAUGGAGUGGAUCACAAUCACAGGUUAUUUCCCAAGUCCAGCAUCAGCAGAGCACAACUUUUGAGCUCCCCUCUCCUACUGGAUCACAGGGUAAUAAUGCCCUGCCCCGUGAUAUGGCUUAUUGGCUCCAGGGGAGCAGUGUCUGCCUGGGGCAGCUGGGCAAAAUUCUUGGCAGCUGUGAGCAGGGGCUCAUUCCUGAGCCAGCCCCACCCCCCAACUCUAAUAUGUUUAUCCAAAUCAGAACCCUGCCUGGACUGCAACUUUCUGUACCACACUUUCCUUUUCCCCUGAAGAGGGGGCUUCCUGCUGGGACUGGGGGAAGGAGCCCGACAGGCUUACCCAGAAUCCGUGUCUUCCAGUCAAAAAGUCUCAGAGAAAGAUGCACAGGACUAAAUCAAGCAUUGAGAAAUCUCCCACUGCACUGACCUCCAGCUAUCUCUUCUCCAAAAUGUCAGUUUCCAGGCACACCAGUCAUGGCCUCUAAGAUUCCUCAUGUGGUUCUGGUGACUAUCCAUCCUUAUCUCUGGAAGCAGCAACCACUGCAAAAGACCACAAAUGCAGAUCUGAAAGUGAGUCUCACCAGAAUCAAAAGUUGUAAUUAGGAAGUUGAAAGCCAAAGAGCCAGAAGACGCUGAGAAAAGCACCAAGAGUCUUUAGUGCACAGAAGGCUAAGUCUGCCAAGAAACUCACCAGAGCUCACGCAGAAGAGUGUCUCACCAAAGCACCAACCAAGAGGAGGUCUCCUUGCAGAAGAACCAAGGAAGCAAAGAGUAAAUCUUGUCCUUUUUUCUCAUCUUUUAUAGUCCUUUUUCAUUGUAACUUCCUGUCUCUCUCCCACUUCAGGGGAACCAAUUACAGUCUCCUAAUUUGCCUAGCACUGCCCAAGGGGGACAGUGCUUGUGGCCUUUGGGGGUAUGAACUAGUGACUUCUGAGCUCCCUUACUUAGUGACUUACCAAGUGUUAAAUAGGGGUACUUGAUUGAUUAAAUUAAAGAUUGCUGAUUGAUUACAUUAAAAAUAAACAGAGUUCAAUUCUCUCUUCACAAUAAUUAUGGCAUAUUAAAAAAUAUUGAUAUUAUAUAAUAUUAUACAUAUAUUUUCUGUAUUUCUGAGUUUCUAAACCCUUUCUGUCAUUUGUUGUCCUUCACAUGUUGUCUAUAGCUUCUGUAAAACUCACCCCAAAUUCCCAUUUAUUUUCUUAUGUCAACCCACAGUAUAUCAAAACCAUGAUGAGGAAAACCUCAAUGUAGAAGGAAUACCACUUGGUUCUGUUUACUUCACUUUGCCUCAGUCAUACAAAUCUUUCUGUGGUUUUCUGUAUUCAUCACAUACAUCAUUUCUUACAGCACAGUAGUAUUCCAUUACAUUCAAGUAUCACAAUCUGUUUAGCCAUUUCCUAAUUGAUGGACACCUACUUUGUUUCUAAUUCUUAAAGUGUUGCUACAAAUAUUUUGGAGUAUAUGGAGCCUUUUUUCCAAAUCAAUAGCUUACUUGAGGUAUAAAUCUGGUAACAGAGUCUCUAUUUCAAAGAGCAUAGACAUUUUGUAAUUUUCAUAGUUCCAAUUUGCUUUCCAAAAUGAUUGUAUCAUUUCACAGCUCUACCAACAAUGUAUUAGUAUGUCUUUCUCCUCACACUCUCUACCACAUUGACUAUUGCCAUUUUUUGGUCAUUUUUUCCAAUAUGCAGGGUAAUCUCAGAAUUAUUUUGAUUUGUAUUUUUCUAUUAUUAAUUAUUUGGAGAACUUUUUCAUGUAGUUGUGAAUAUUUUGCAGUUCUUCUUUGAAAACUAUUUGUUCAUAUCCUUUAUCCAUUAAUCUAUUGGGGAAUAGAUAUUAAUCUUACUU